GACGAACGCUGGCGGCGUGCUUAACACAUGCAAGUCGAACGGAAAGGCCCUGCUUUUGUGGGGUGCUCGAGUGGCGAACGGGUGAGUAACACGUGAGUAACCUGCCCUUGACUUUGGGAUAACUUCAGGAAACUGGGGCUAAUACCGGAUAGGAGCUCCUGCUGCAUGGUGGGGGUUGGAAAGUUUCGGCGGUUGGGGAUGGACUCGCGGCUUAUCAGCUUGUUGGUGGGGUAGUGGCUUACCAAGGCUUUGACGGGUAGCCGGCCUGAGAGGGUGACCGGCCACAUUGGGACUGAGAUACGGCCCAGACUCCUACGGGAGGCAGCAGUGGGGAAUAUUGCACAAUGGGCGGACGCCUGAUGCAGCAACGCCGCGUGCGGGAUGACGGCCUUCGGGUUGUAAACCGCUUUCGCCUGUGACGAGGCGUGAGUGACGGUAAUGGGUAAAGAAGCACCGGCUAACUACGUG
rnacentral:rRNA from 1 species